UAGAACCUGUGAAUUCGUGGUGUUACACGACAGAGGGGAAUUAUGGUUGCAGAUGGAAUUAAUGUUGCUAAUUGGCUGACCUUAAAGUGUCCUGAGAUGUCCAGGAAUCCGAUUUGCUGAACAGAGCCCAGAUUCAGCUUGGAGAUGGCGAGAGAUGGCUAGUCAAAGCCUUAUUUACACCUGGAUCCCUUUAUGUUUUUGUGCUUCUGUAGCCCAACUUCUACAUUUAACCAUUUAUCAUGGGCGGUGACUCAGACUUCAUAGGGGCAAAAUAAAUAUUUGUUGAAUAAAUCCUCAGAGCUGCUACCA